GCCUCGAUGGUGUAGUGGUUAGCAUUCGAGAUUGUCGAUCUCGCGACCCGGGUCCGAAUCCCGGUCGGGGCG
rnacentral:tRNA from 1 species